rnacentral:rRNA from 1 species
CAAGUCGAACGGACAGGUAAUGAAACCUAGUGAUUUAUCUGUUAGUGCCGUACGGGUGAGUAACGCGUGGGUAACCUGCCGUAUACAGGGGGAUAACACUUAGAAAUAGGUGCUAAAACCGCAUAAGCGCACAGGAUCGCAUGGUCCGGUGUGAAAAACUCCGGUGGUAUACGAUGGACCCGCGUCUGAUUAGCUUGUUGGCGGGGUAGAGGCCCACCAAGGCGACGAUCAGUAGCCGGCCUGAGAGGGUGAACGGCCACAUUGGGACUGAGACACGGCCCAAACUCCUACGGGAGGCAGCAGUGGGGAAUAUUGCACAAUGGGGGAAACCCUGAUGCAGCGACGCCGCGUGAGUGAAGAAGUAUUUCGGUAUGUAAAGCUCUAUCAGCAGGAAAGAAAAUGACGGUACCUGACUAAGAAGCCCCGGCUAACUACGUGCCAGCAGCCGCGGUAAUACGUAGGGGGCAAGCGUUAUCCGGAUUUACUGGGUGUAAAGGGAGCGUAGACGGUGAAGCAAGUCUGAAGUGAAAGGCGGGGGCUCAACCCCCGGACUGCUUUGGAAACUGUUUGACUGGAGUGCAGGAGAGGUAAGUGGAAUUCCUAGUGUAGCGGUGAAAUGCGUAGAUAUUAGGAGGAACACCAGUGGCGAAGGCGGCUUACUGGAC